rnacentral:rRNA from 1 species
CACGUAGGAUCCAAGCGUUAUCCGGAUUUACUGGGCGUAAAGCGCGUGUAGGUGGUUUGUUAAGUUGGGUGUUAAAUCUCUCGGCUCAACUGAGAGGUGUCGCUCAAAACUAGCAGACUGGAGGACGGUAGAGGAAGGUGGAAUUCCGGGUGUAGUGGUGAAAUGCGUAGAUAUCCGGAGGAACACCAGUGGCGAAGGCGGCAUCCUGGACCGCUCCUGACACUCAAACGCGAAAGCUAGGGGAGCAAACGGG